GGACCCGCACAAGUAGUGGAGCAUGUGGUUUAAUUCGAAGAUACGCGCAGAACCUUACCAACACUUGACAUGUUCGUCGCGACUCUAAGAGAUUAGAGUUUUCGGUUCGGCCGGACGAAACACAGGUGCUGCAUGGCUGUCGUCAGCUCGUGUCGUGAGAUGUUGGGUUAAGUCCCGCAACGAGCGCAACCCACGUCUUUAGUUGCCAGCAUUCAGUUGGGCACUCUAGAGAGACUGCCGGUGAUAAACCGGAGGAAGGUGUGGAUGACGUCAAGUCAUCAUGCCCCUUACAUCCUGGGCUACACACGUACUACAAUGCUACGGACAAAGGGCUGCAAGUUCGCGAGGACAAGCAAAUCCCAUAAACCGUGGCUCAGUUCAGAUCGUAGGCUGCAACUCGCCUACGUGAAGGCGGAAUCGCUAGUAAUCG
rnacentral:rRNA from 1 species